rnacentral:lncRNA from 10 species
GCUUCUGCGAGGUUCCUUCCGCACAGCCUCACACAGCUUUCUUAUCACUACACCCAGUGAGUAAGCGAGACACCCCUGGAAAGCCCGCAGCUAGGGCGGCCAGCGGAAGGCGGAUUAACAGGAGACCUGCAGUGAGAUCUGCCUGGGCCGGUGGGUCCCCCUCUGGCUGCACAUCGGGCCAGCGGACAGCCUUAAACAACACUGGUGCCUCCAUCUCAGACCAAGGAGGAAGUGUGUCUUCAGAGACGGUGGUGCGCGGUAUUCCCCUCGAGUGAGUGUGAUACGUGAACGCACGCUUAUCGAUCCCUUGUAAGGAGAGGUCAUUCACUUUACAAUGCUACCCAAGAGACAAGCCCUUCAAAUACAGAUGUUGGAGUAGAGACGGCAGAGUGGAGGAUACCUGGGAUGAACUCCUAAUUGGUAGUGUAGAAGUGAAAAAGGUAAUGGCAUGCCCCAGGUGUAUUUUGACAACGGUGGACCCAGACACUGGAGUCAUAGACAGGAAACAGCCACUGGACACCCUGAAGAGCUACCGCCUGUGUGAUCCUUCUGAGAGGGAAUUGUACAAGUUGUCUCCACUUUUUGGGAUCUAUUAUUCAGUGGAAAAAAUUGGAAGCCUGAGAGUUGGUGACCCUGUGUAUCGGAUGGUGUAGUGAUGAGUGAUGGAUCCACUAGGGUGAUAUGGCUUCAGCAACCAGGAGGGAUUGACUGAGAUCUUAACAACAGCAGCAACGAUACAUCAGCAAAUCCUUAUUAUCCAGCCUUCAACUAUCUUUACCCUGGAAAACAAUCUCGAUUUUUGACUUUUCAAAGUUGUGUAUGCUCCAGGUUAAUGCAAGGAAAGUAUUAGAGGGGGGAAUAUGAAAGUAUAUAUAUAAAUUUUAGGUACUGAAGGCUUUAAAAAUAAUUAAGAUCAUCAAAAAUGCUAUUUUGAAUGUUAUCAUGGCUAUUACACUUUUACUUCCUGACUUUAAUAUUGAUGAAUAAAGCAAGUUUAAU